GAAGCCUGCCAGACAAUCGCUGCUCAUGCAUGCAUGAGGGGAGGAAAGUCCGGGCUCCACAGGGCAGGGUGCCAGGUAACGCCUGGGCGGCGCAAGCCGACGACUAGUGCAACAGAGAGUAUACCGCCGAUGGCCGCUUGCGGCACAGGUAAGGGUGAAAGGGUGCGGUAAGAGCGCACCGCGUGGCUGGUAACAGUUCACGGCACGGUAAACUCCACCCGGAGCAAGGUCAAAUAGGGGUUCUUUGGCGCGGCCCGCGUUGAACCCGGGUAGACUGCUUGACGAUCAUGGCAACGUGAUCGCUAGAUGAAUGAUUGUCCACGACAGAACCCGGCUUAUCGGCGGGCUUCCCUC
rnacentral:RNase_P_RNA from 3 species